rnacentral:ncRNA from 1 species
AGACCGGACUCGUAAGUCCUGGACCCGGCUGCUUCUACGUAAGUAGAUGAUACUCCGUCUGGCCUUUGGCCCGCCUUCGGGCGUGAACGGUGAGAAUCGGCCCCCAGGGUGAGCCGGUUU